AAGUUGGCUGUGAUUUGGCUGGU
rnacentral:miRNA from 10 species